UCCAAUAGGGGGCGCCGCGUUGGAACGCCCUAAGAGGUUAUGCGGCUGGGGUGGUUAGAAGCGGAUUGGUGGGCGGGCGUAUGGCGGCCAGGCCUGGACCGCCACGAGGCCGGGUGGCGCCUUGGGGUCGCUCUUCCUGGCGCCCCAAGUCACCAAGGCUGAAAGGGGAGGUGAGGGCUCUCAGGGACCAACCCUUGUUCUCGCUGAUGGCGGUGGGCGAGCCCACCUAACAGGGAUCCGCCGCCGGGGUGAGGCGAGGAGCAGGGUUUCCAGGGCCUGGAGGUAGAGGGCCCAGACCCUGAGGAGAGGGGCUCACUGCCCCGCUGCAGAGGAGCGGCCCCAGAUGGAUAAGGAGUUGAGGUCGCGGGGGUGCUGAGCCCUGCCGAAGUGGAAGUGACUGGCUACCAGAAUCUGAAAACCCCAAAUCACUUGGAUGAGUGGGGAUCAGAGCUGAAACUCCACCACAGAUCAGCAGCGGGACCUGAGAGACUGCAGCAACGUGGCCGAUGUUUGAAAGGCAGCUGGGUAGCCUGGCCACAGGGACCCAAGGAACGGGUAUGGAUUGGUGAGAAAGGCACACUUUCCACACCGAAGAUGCGUUACCGGAUUGCGGCCGUUUUUGUGCUCCGACACCAGGGCAGCUUCGCCUCCAGGUUACAGAUUCCAAACUUAGCUCCACCCGAGCUGAAAAUGGCCGGCCCUUGCGCAAACAGCCCGGGACCUCUCCAGCCAAGCUGCACCCAGCCCCGCCACCAGACUAGCUGCGCCAAAAGGCUGGCGAUGCCCCGACGUGACCAAGCCCACGCCACAACCCUGGUAGCCUGUUGGGCACCUCCCAAGACUCCCGUACCUCCUCUGCCUGCCCUCCAAGCACCGGUGACUCGUGGGGAACCGCCGGCCGGCUCUUAGAGGUCGACUCUGGGGCGUGCGGGCAGGUGCGCACGCUCUUUGCUGCGGUCUCCGGCCCCGCGAGCGCCCGGAGACGGGCGGUGGCGGCCAGGACCGGCGCGCAGCCGCGGGGGGCACUGGCGCCGAGGUCCGGCGGCUCCAAAUUGACAGCGACGGGACCUGGGCUCUAGGCUCCGAGCGUCUUAAGCGGCGCGCGCGCACGCGCGCGCGCGACUUUCCCCGGGAGCCGGCAGUCUCCGGAGUUGUCGCCCAAUCCCAGCCUGGUUAGUAUUUGCACAUUGCAACAGUGUCGCUACAGCCGGGCGGCUCUGCUUUCUGAAAGUUGGCGCGAGCACCUCCGAACCACGUUUCUGGCACCCGCCAAGGCCAACUGGUUUGAGACUACUUACUCUAGGAGGGAAAAAAGCACGUAAAACAAGUGACUUACCCGUGCCUUCUGGGUGUGCAGCUCGAAACCUGGGGCGCGCCCGGAAUUCAGUCGUGCAUCCUGGACACCAGCUCGGAGACCUCAGGCUGUCUCCAGAGGGGCGCGAGGAGCGCCCCGCCGCCCCUCCGUCCAACAAGCCUUUGGCCACCCGGGCGCCCGCCAGCGCCCUGGGGGAGAUUCGCGGAGCUCUUCCCAGCUCGCCCUGCGCCCCCGCCUCCAGGGCUAGCUAGCUGAGCCCGCUCUCUUCCCGCCUUCCUUCUAACCUGCCUUUGCUUCUCCCUCCCUUCCUCCCGCCGCUCCUGCACCGACCCCAGACUCCCCAGUUUAGCGGUGGGCCACCAACCUGGGUCAAAGAAAACAAGGAGAAUCUGG